GUAAAACCAAAGAAAUUAGGUUUUCUAUUAAUUUCCACAAAUGAUAUCAAUAUGACAUUCCAUAUAUGAUUAUCAGAUUUUAUCGUUAGUUGGAGUGGAGCCGGUUCUUUUGGUCAAAUUAUCGUAUCUCCAGCUGCUUCAGAGGCCAAGAUAUCAAAAAAUUUCCAACUGUAGUACAACGGUUUUGCUAUGGAAUGGUGAAACUAUUUCUUCAUUUUCUGAAAAAGCAACCUUUUGGACUCCCGACACUUUUGCAUGAGCAACGAUAUGAUUUUGUAUAUUGUAAUAAGGAUUACUUUGACUGAAAAUUAGAUUUGUGCGUUAUCAACUUCCAUAUGACAACGCAUAAAAAUUAUAUCGGAACUGCAG